rnacentral:rRNA from 1 species
AGUGAACGCUGGCGGUAGGCCUAACACAUGCAAGUCGAACGGCAGCACAGUAAGAGCUUGCUCUUACGGGUGGCGAGUGGCGGACGGGUGAGGAAUACAUCGGAAUCUACUUUUUCGUGGGGGAUAACGUAGGGAAACUUACGCUAAUACCGCAUACGACCUACGGGUGAAAGCAGGGGAUCUUCGGACCUUGCGCGAUUGAAUGAGCCGAUGUCGGAUUAGCUAGUUGGCGGGGUAAAGGCCCACCAAGGCGACGAUCCGUAGCUGGUCUGAGAGGAUGAUCAGCCACACUGGAACUGAGACACGGUCCAGACUCCUACGGGAGGCAGCAGUGGGGAAUAUUGGACAAUGGGCGCAAGCCUGAUCCAGCCAUACCGCGUGGGUGAAGAAGGCCUUCGGGUUGUAAAGCCCUUCUGUUGGGAAAGAAAAGCAGCAGGUUAAUACCCCGCUGUUCUGACGGUACCCAAAGAAUAGGCACCGGCUAACUUCGUG